AUGUAUGUGAACUCAUGCAGAUAGUGGAUGCCUUGGCAACACAUGCCGAAGAAGGACGCACUAGACGGCGAAACUCGCCGGGGAGCUGUCAAGAAGCUUUGAUCCGGUGGUGUCCGAAUGGGGAAACCCGGCCCAGGUUAUUCUGGGUCAUCCGUGGCUUUUGUCACGGAAGGGUACGCGCAGAACUGAAAUAUCUAAGUACGCGCUGGAAAAGACAUCGAAAGAGAUUCCCUGAGUAAGCGACGAGCGAAAAGGGAACAGCCUAAACCCAUCGUAAGAUGGGGGUUGCAGGAGCCCAAUAUUGGAUUGUAUCUGUUGAAUAGAACGCUAUGGAAUGAGCGACCAAAGAACGUGACAGUCGUGUAUAUGAAAAACAGAUGCACCAUAGGGAUUUCCUAAGUACUUUCGGAGACGGCAAACUCCGGGAAGAAUCUGGGGCGACCACGCUCCAAGGCUAAAUACAUGUGUUGACCGAUAGCGAACGAGUACCGUGAGGGAAAGGUGAAAAGAAGGGUCGAAGACCCCGUGAAAUAGAAACUGAAACUAUCUGCUAACAAGCAGACAGAGUCCGCAAGGAUGAUGUCGUGCCUAUUGAAGAAUGAACCGGCGAGUUAUGGUCUGUUCCAAGUGUAAGCCGUUGAAACGGCGGACGCGCAGUGAAAGCGAGCCUGAAUAGGGCGCCAAGGAACACACUAUAGACCCGAAACCAGGUGAGCUACCCAUGAUCAGGUUGAACGUACGGUAAAACGUGCGGGAGGACCGAACCGUUCAGAGUUGCAAGUCUGUCGGAUGAAUUGUGGGUAGAGGUUAUAUGCCUAUCGAACCUGGAGAUAGCUGGUUCUCCCCGAAAUAUAUUUAGGUAUAGGCUCAUGAUUAGGCUGAUGGGGGUAGAGUACUGGAUGAAUUUUUUGGUCGCAAGAUCAAAAAUUUAACCAAACUCCGAAUACCGUCAGUUCGUGCAUGGGACUCAGUAUGGCGGAGCUAAGUUCGCCAGGCGAGAGGGAAACAUCCCAGACUUUCGUCUAAGGUCUCUAAAUAUUCCUCAGUGGGAAAGAUAGUCUUGGUCCCCAAACACCUAGGAGGUCGGCUCAGAAGCAGCCAUCCUUGAAAGAAAGCGUAACAGCUCACUAGCCGAGGAUCAGGGCGUCGAAAACGUAUCGAGGCUUAAGGAAUAUACCGAAGACAAAGAUUUAUAUAUUUUCGUAAGAAAUUAUGUGAGUGGUAGGGGAGCGUUCCGGGUGCUGUGAAGGCGGCGAGAAAUCGAUCUGCUGGAGCGACCGGAAGUGCGAAUGCCGGUAUGAGUAGCGUACAUGAAGUGAGAAUCUUCAUCUCCGAAUGUUCAAGGUUUCCGCACCCACGUUUGUCGUGUGCGGGUAAGGCGACCCUUAGGCGAGGCCGAAUGGCGUAGCUGAUGGAUAACCAGUUGAUAUUCUGGUCCUUGAUAACAAUCGUUAUGACUUGGGGAGGGACGGAUUUGGAUACUGCGUGCGCUCUGUCGAAGAUAGAGCCGCACAAGCAACGAGAUAAUGUCUGUUGGCAAACCCGCAGAUAUGUUUAAUCGAAUUGUGAUGUGGAGUCUGUUCCGCAAGGAACGGGCAAGACGCAGGACUUCAGGUUCCUAGAAAAGCUUCGCAAGCAGAGUGUUAUUAAAUCGUACCGAUAACCGACACAGGUGAACUGGCCGAGAAGGCUAAGGAGAACGAGAGACAAUGGUUUAAGGAAUUCGGCAAAACAGCUGGGCGUACCCUUGGUAUAUGCCCUUCUCUCCGCAAGGAGAGGCGCAGCGAAAGACUGGAGACUGACUGUUUAACAAAAACACAGGUCCGUGCAAACUCGAAAGAGGACGUAUACGGGCUGAAACCUGCCCAGUGCCGGAAGGUUAACUGCGAGAGUGGUACCCGCAAGGG
rfam:Microgenomates bacterium GW2011_GWB1_45_17 TX00_C0002, whole genome shotgun sequence.